rnacentral:rRNA from 1 species
GAUGAACACUGGCGGCGUGCCUAAUACAUGCAAGUCGAGCGAACGGACGAGAAGCUUGCUUUUCUGAUGUUAGCGGCGGACGGGUGAGUAACACGUGGAUACCCUACCUAUAAGACUGGGAUAACUUCGGGAAACCGGAGCUAAUACCGGAUAAUAUUUUGAACCGCAUGGUUCAAAAGUGAAAGACGUUCUUGCUGUCACUUAUAGAUGGAUCCGCGCUGCAUUAGCUAGUUGGUAAGGUAACGGCUUACCAAGGCAACGAUGCAUAGCCGACCUGAGAGGGUGAUCGGCCACACUGGAACUGAGACACGGUCCAGACUCCUACGGGAGGCAGCAGUAGGGAAUCUUCCGCAAUGGGCGAAAGCCUGACGGAGCAACGCCGCGUGAGUGAUGAAGGUCUUCGGAUCGUAAAACUCUGUUAUUAGGGAAGAACAUAUGUGUAAGUAACUGUGCACAUCUUGACGGUACCUAAUCAGAAAGCCACGGCUAACUACGUG